CCUACGGGAGGCAGCAGUGGGGAAUAUUGGACAAUGGGGGAAACCCUGAUCCAGCAAUGCCGCGUGUGUGAAGAAGGCCUGCGGGUUGUAAAGCACUUUCGGUUGGGAAGAAAAGUUUGGCGCCAAUACCGCCGAACCUUGACGUUACUGACAGAAGAAGCACCGGCUAACUCUGUGCCAGCAGCCGCGGUAAUACAGAGGGUGCACACGUUAAUCGGAAUCAGCGGGCGUAAUGCGGCAGUAGGUGGGCGGAAUCCCCGGGCUUAACCUGGGAACUGCAUUCGAUACUACAUGGCUAGAGUAUGGUAGAGGGAAGUGGAAUUUCCGGUGUAGCGGUGAAAUGCGUAGAGAUCGGAAGGAACACCAAUGGCGAAGGCAGCUUCCUGGACUAAUACUGACACUGAGGCACGAAAGCGUGGGUAGCAAACAGGAUUAGAUACCCCAGUAGUC
rnacentral:rRNA from 1 species